GACGAACGCUGGCGGCGUGCUUAACACAUGCAAGUCGAACGGAAAGGCCCUGCUUUUGUGGGGUGCUCGAGUGGCGAACGGGUGAGUAACACGUGAGUAACCUGCCCUUGACUUUGGGAUAACUUCAGGAAACUGGGGCUAAUACCGGAUAGGAGCUCCUGCUGCAUGGUGGGGGUUGGAAAGUUUCGGCGGUUGGGGAUGGACUCGCGGCUUAUCAGCUUGUUGGUGGGGUAGUGGCUUACCAAGGCUUUGACGGGUAGCCGGCCUGAGAGGGUGACCGGCCACAUUGGGACUGAGAUACGGCCCAGACUCCUACGGGAGGCAGCAGUGGGGAAUAUUGCACAGUGGGCGGAAGCCUGAUGCAGCAACGCCGCGUGCGGGAUGACGGCCUCCGGGUUGUAAACCGCUUUCGCCUGUGACGAAGCGUGAGUGACGGUAAUGGGUAAAGAAGCACCGGCUAACUACGUG
rnacentral:rRNA from 1 species